AAUGAGUUUGACACGUGACUUAGAGCUGAAGUUUCCCAUAGGUACAGACCUAGGAUCAGUUUCUCCGCCCCCAAUCCUAACCUAAACCAUGAGUGGGGGAAAUGAAAAAGUGACAAGAUUAGUGUCUAGACGCAACUUCACCUUACACCCCACAGAAGCGGCAGCCAUUUUGUUUCCCCUGUGGAACUGGAAAGAAGCUUUGUAUUUCAGCUCUCUAGAGAGCUCUGGACAUUUUAUUUAACCAGGCCACCUGCCGCCCCAUAUAGGAGAGGCAACCACUGGACGAAGGUAGCAGUUUGUUGAGCUGGAGUUAGAGGAAGGCAGCUGGAAGAGGGAAGGUGAGUCGGAAAUGGCGCAAAGAGCCAGGGAGUCUGGGGGAUGACUGGAGGAGCAAUGGCGGAAGUAUUGUGUGAUUUUCUUGCCGCGAGUACAGUUGGUGAGAAUGAGUGGACGAUGGUGAAGAAGAGUGGAGUAAAAAGGGCUAAAGUUGGAAAUGAACAGCAGUUUAUGGUUGGAGUGCAAUUCACGAGCAAAGAUGUUUUUUUGGGUGACCCGUUUGCUGUCUCGAAGAUCGUGGAGGACAAAUUGGGUAAAGUGGAAUCGGUCAGAGUGACCAGGAGCGGUAUGAUGCUGAUUUUGUGUGUGUCAAAAGCGCAAAAGGAGAAAGCUCUGUGGCUCAACAAGAUGUCAUUGUAUGAUGUGGAAAGCUAUGAUUUUCAAAGUAGGGCACCGGUUAAAGGUGCCCUCUCCGGUGUCUUGUUGGACAUAGAGGCUGUGUGGUUUAGGGAUAACAUUCCAGGAGUGGUAGAUGCACGUCACUUGAAUCGAAUGAAAAGACGGAAAAAGAAGGAGCAAAGCCUAUUGGUUUUACUGUCGUUUGAAGUGGUUCUCCCAACUUAUGCAAAACUUGGGUAUGUGAGAUAUGAGGUGAGAUUGUAUGUACAGAAACCGCUGAAGUGUUACAAUUGUAAAAAGUUUGGACACGUGGCAAGUGUUUGAUGAAGGAAUAAAUGUGUAGUAGUUGAGAGUCAAAUGAAGAGUCAGAUGAAGCAUGUUGUUAUAAUUGUGAUGGGAAUCACGUUCCCGGAGUGCCCUGUACGGAUGAAGGAGGUCGCAGUAGCUAGGAUCAGGGCAACACAGGAGGUCUUCUAUGUGGAGCCAGGUAAAAUAGCUGAAGGAGUGAGUAGAGAGGAGAUGGUUGUGGAUGUCCCACAGUCUGAAGUGAAUGCCAUGCAGAAGAAGGAUCCCGACACACUAAUGGCGAAGAAGGUGGACUUUGUUGCAUUUAUAGUGCAAGUGAUAAAUUGCGUUAGUCAAACUACUAAAAAAAAAAUAUCUAAAAAGAAGACGGAAAAUAGAUUCCUGGAUCUCCAGGACUUGACAGCCGAAAUGUUACAGGGAAUACUGAAUGAUGAGGUUCCCCCUUUCCUGGUUCCUGAGCCUGCGUAGGGAUCUGAAUAGUACACUUUUUGUUUUUGUUUGAAAUUCAGGAUAAUGGAGUGGAUCUGGUUAGUGUUUUUGGUAAUUAGUAUGAAUUUGUUCAGCCAAAACAUAUUUAGUUUUGGGGGUAUUUUUUACUACACCGUACAGUAGGUGGCGGCAACACACUUUAUGAGUGUAGUCUGCCAAUAAACCUCAAAGAAGAAGAAAGAGGGCACCACUAACAAGAUGACAGCAGGCAGACACAUGUAGACAUCAGUCUACAGACCAGAGAGAGACCAGACCAACUCAACAGGUUUAUAUUUUUCUAGUGGGGUUCUCAAAACUGAUUUAUCAAUCAAAACAUGUCAUUUUUUUAGCUAACUGAUUUGUCUUAACGAUAUAAAAAAAGGAGAGAUUUGACCUCUAUAUGCAGCAAAUGGCUAAAGGCAGAUUUCCAAACUGUAAACACAAUCUUAAUUGUUUUCUUACCUUAAUAGGAGAUGAGUCUUAGUGAGAAUUUUAAUACAAGCUCUAUGGAAAGCUCUGUGAAGUAAACAAAAACCGUUACAAAUCUUUAAUUCUAAGUCAAACACAGAUUUUGUAAAAUGAUAUUGGCGGAAUAUAAGUUGAAUUGAAGUGCAUUAGCUAUUUUGUUUUCAUACUUGCGUUCAUUGCAUUGUUUACUUUAAAUGGCUUUUCAUGAAGCUUGUAUUAAAAUUAAAAGAAAGGCUCAAUAACCCUAUUGAGGUAAGAAAAAAAAUCAAGAUUGUGUUAACAUUUCAGAAAACUAUCCCUUUAAGGUUAACAUUUUAGAAUUAUGAUUCUUCACAUUUACUUGUUAUGACAAAGCGAGAGCUCUAUAUCUUGGAAAUAAUAUUUUAUUUGUGGAAAGCUUUCCUUGUAUAUUUGUUUUAGGUGAUUUAGCAUGUUUGUGUGUGUUGUAAUAAUUUUGACAUUUGCUAAUUGUAAAAUUAAUCAUUGUUACUAUCCUUUAAGUAUAGAAGUUCAGAUCAUUAUUUUGUGAAUAUAUAUUUGGUAGUGUGUAUAACAUUAUAUGCUGUCAUACUCAUUAGGAAUUUGGUCUACUUGUGUGGUUGUUAAAUUGUAUUAUCUAUACAGUGUAUCUGUCUUUGUAUAUUCCAAUGAAUUUGUACACUAUAGGGCACACUAUAUGUUGGGUCAUGUGUGACUGGUCACACGUGUACAUCCCAUAGAGAUAGAUAGAGAUCCCUACUGCCACCUGCCGUUUUGGAAUGUUUGCUCACAAGUGUAAUUCAAUGGCUGGGAGGUCCAACCCAGUUGACUACUUUAAAAUGGUGGAAGUCCUCAAUGGCACUGCUCAUGUGUUCACAGACACAAAGAUAUGUUGUCUAACUAAGUCUAUGAUGCAGGCACACAGGUGACCAGGAAGUGGGGAUGCACAGGUAUGGACAUCAUCAUAGAGAUGGAAAGAGGUAUCAUCUUUGUAUCUGUGCUAUUAUGGCAUCUGUGGUAGCAUGGACAGCACCAUUGAGGCUAUCUCCAUUUUAAAGUUGUACAUUUUCUUCUUCUUUUAUGUUUGAAUAAAGUGUCAAGCUAAUAUUGGUGAUUUACCACCACCUGCAUUGCUUGAGUUCUGAUCCAAAUGUUGUGUGUGAUUCAUUUAUUGUGGACACUAGAUAGCUGUGAUAUAGCUUAAAUCCAUUUACAAACCAUAGCACCCAAUUUGAAAAAGAAGACAAUGCUCUGAUCAUUGGCUGAUUGCUCCAAACCCAUAGGAAUCCUCACCCAUUUUGAAUACUUUAAAAUGGUGGAAGCACUCAAUGGCAGUGCCCAUGCUAAAAUGGGUUAUAUCCAAGUUGAGUCCUCUAACUACCACUAUGGGCAGCAUACAGUUCUGACCAUGCUCACUAUGGAACUAAGAUAAGG
rnacentral:lncRNA from 1 species